rnacentral:lncRNA from 1 species
ACCAUAUGGUAGAGCUUUGUGUAUGGGGUCUCUCGUCACUCAGGAUCCUUUUAUGGAAGAAAACUACAUGUGCUGUAUUUGAAAUUAGUAUUAUUACUGUUGUUAGAGUUUGGAACAGGAUCACUAUUAAUGAGAGAUUUAUAUUGAUUCUAAGAAUCUAUUAUUUACUUCUCUAUCUCUGUUAUGGGUGAUACAAUAGCAAGAUUUCAGAAAAGAACAUGUGAUGUGUUAGUGAGCCAC